UACAAAUCCAUUUGAAGAAGAAGAACAAAGAAAAGAGAGAGAGAAAGAAUCAUGGAACCUCGAAGAAGAGAAGCAACUUUGUUCUGCGUUGAAAAGAAAGAAGCAAGACUUCUUUAAAGCAGCGGAAUCAGUACCAAAUAAGACGCGAGAAGAAUGCGUGGUACAUUGGUAUCAUUACAAAAAGAAAGAAGAUCAUAUCAAGGCGUGCAACACUUGCGCGGUCCGUGUGGAACGAAAAAGGAAACGCAAACUGAUCGAAGAACAAGAAGACGCUGCAGAGGC